rnacentral:rRNA from 1 species
UACGGAGGGUGCAAGCGUUAUCCGGAUUCACUGGGUUUAAAGGGCGCGUAGGUGGAUUGGUAAGCCAGUGGUGAAAUCUCUGGGCUUAACUCAGAAACUGCCAUUGAUACUAUCAGUCUUGAAUACCGUGGAGGUCAGCGGAAUAUGUCAUGUAGCGGUGAAAUGCUUAGAUAUGACAUAGAACACCAACUGCGAAGGCAGCUGGCUACACGAAUAUUGACACUGAGGCACGAAAGCGUGGGGAUCAAACAGG